AGUGGGAUAGCUGGGUCAAAUGGUGGUUCCAGUUCAAGUUUUCUAAGGAAUCUCCAUACUGCUUUCCAAAUUGGUUGCUCCAAUUUGCAGUCCAGCAGCAAU
rnacentral:pre_miRNA from 1 species